rnacentral:lncRNA from 1 species
GUGGCUUCUGGAGUCUUCUAGAUGAUAGAAAAUUGCACGGCACGUUAAUAUAUCUAUGUAAUCCCGACGUGUGGGCCUUUCUUCCAUAUUUCCUGAUAACCCCCUGCAGAAAUAGACAAACACCAAAACUCGUUGAAUUCUGUCAGAUAAAACCCUAAGUCUAGGUGUUGGUUGUAUUUGGAUCCUUUUCUUUAUUUAUUUGAUGAUUAUAUUUGAUACUUAAGGAC